rnacentral:rRNA from 1 species
AAUGAACGUUGGCGGCGUGGAUUAGGCAUGCAAGUCGUACGGUAAGCUUCGGCUUAUAGUGGCGAAAGGGAGAGUAACGCGUGGUUACAUGCCCUCGGGACCGGGAUAGCGGCGGGAAACUGCCGGUAAUACCGGAUAAUAUCUUUGGAUCAAAGGUGUGAUUCCGCCCGAGGAUUGGACCGCGUUCUAUUAGCUUGUUGGCGGGGUAAUGGCCCACCAAGGCGACGAUGGAUACCGGGUGUGAGAGCAUGGCCCGGCUCACUGGGACUGAGACACUGCCCAGACACCUACGGGUGGCUGCAGUCGAGAAUCUUCGGCAAUGGGGGCAACCCUGACCGAGCGACGCCGCGUGCGGGACGAAGGCCUUCGGGUUGUAAACCGCUGUCAGUUGGGAGGAAGUGCCGGGGGGUUCUCCCCUCGGUUUGACCGAUCUUCAGAGGAAGGACGGGCUAAGUUCGUGCCAGCAGCAGCCGCCGUAA